rnacentral:rRNA from 1 species
UGGGGAAUAUUGCGCAAUGGGGGAAACCCUGACGCAGCAACGCCGCGUGAGUGACGAAGGCCUUCGGGUCGUAAAGCUCUGUCGGAGGGAAAGAAACUACAGAUGGCUAAUAUCCAUUUGUAUUGACGGUACCCUCAAAGGAAGCACCGGCUAACUCCGUGCCAGCAGCCGCGGUAAUACGUAGGGUGCAAGCGUUAAUCGGAAUUACUGGGCGUAAAGCGUACGCAGGCGGCUUUGCAAGACAGGUGUGAAAUCCCCGGGCCUAACCUGGGAACUGCAUUUGUGACUGCAUGGCUAGAGUUUGUCAGAGGGGGGUGGAAUUCCACGUGUAGCAGUGAAAUGCGUAGAGAUGUGGAAGAACACCGAUGGCGAAGGCAGCCCCCUGGGAUGUGACUGACGCUCAUGUACGAAAGCGUGGGGAGCAA